CCGGGCGGGCGCACAAAGGCGGGGCCGUUCCGGGCCGUUCCGUUCCGUUCGGGUCCGCGUCGAGCCGGGCCGGGCCGGGCCGGGGGUCUCAGGAUGCCGCUGUCGGCGCUGCGGGGCUGGGCGCUGGCCGUGCUGGCGGCCCUGGCCCCGGCGGAGCGCAGCCGGCCGUACGCCGUGCUGCAGAAGCAGAACCUGGUGCUGCUGGGCAGCAUCCUCAGCGCGCUGCUGCUCACCAUCGUCCUCGUGGCCGUCUGCGUCUACAAGCCCGUCCGCAGGCGGUAGCGGCCACGGCGUCGUGUGUGCGGCCCCGCCUGGCUCCGGGAUUCACGCCCUCGGCUUCAGCACAAGCGGUGGAACCAGUGGUGGAGCGCCCGCGUCUCCAGAGGGUGUCCGGCGAGGGAUGGGUGCCCCGUGCCACUGUCACCGGGCUCCCCGUGCCCGCUGCGGUCACUGCCCUGGGGGGCACCGCUCGGCACAGCUGCCCGGCCAUCGGCUCACACCGCAUCAGGUCUUUUUGUCCGGUGAACUCGGCUCCUUGCUCGAAGGCUGCUCUGGAAGGGCCUCGGUGCCUUCCAGAAGGCUCGAGGACCAAAGCCGAGCGAGCGCCGGUGGCUGCGUGGGGUGGGAACGCGCUCACCCCCGGGCAGCAGCACUGAGACACGGGCAGAGGCCGGCCCGGCUGAUCACACCAGGCCUGUCCUAGCCACGAGCAGCCCUGCAGCAGCUGGGGUGAGCCCACGGCUCCACAGCCCUCGCCCCCCGUGGGAGAUGCACUCCUGGGUGGGUGCUGGCUGGUGGAUGGGGAGCCCCCGGUGUCCGCAGCGAGUGGGGCUGGAGCAUGAGGCUGCUGGGCUCCAGCCCUCUGGAAGCACUUCGUGCUUAGGCUGCACGGAUCCGUUCUAUGCAUUUCUGGCAACAAAUUCAAGUGUUUACACUGAAAUCACACUUGCGUAUGGAUGCUGCUAUUUUGUUUUGCACUGCUAUGAGUAGUAACUGGAUUUUGCUUAUGAAGUAUUACUUUGAUAUUUAACGUAGGGGGUUUGGGCUAGUAAUUUAUUUCAGUAUUUUAAAACUUUACUUCCAGAGCAAAUGUGUGACCAACUCUCUAAAACCUUGCGCAGCAUCUGAUGUUUUCUGCUGUUAGUCUCACUGGCUCCUCUUGGAACUGGGGAUUUUCUUUGCUGCUGUUACGUUACUAAAUGAGGCCAGCCUAGGCCAGAUCUCAUUUCUAAUCAAAGUGAAACAUGAGUGAGGGAGCAAGCUAACUAAUAUUUCUUUCUGAUCUUUUGCUUUCUUGGUUGCAGAGUCCUUUAUCACUGUUGUUUUUCCCCUCAGUCCUUCAGUUGUGGUAGAGCUCUGCCUGUAGUCAUGUGCUGUUCACGGGUGGAGGAGAAUGGAGCUGCAACUCCUCUUCUCUGGAGCAGUGUUCCUGUUUGCAUUCAUUCAUCGCUCCCUGCUAUGUCUCUCUGUACAAAUAAAAAGCUAAGUAAACAGUC